rnacentral:rRNA from 1 species
AUUGAACGCUGGCGGAAUGCUUUACACAUGCAAGUCGAGCGGCAGCGCGGGGCAACCUGGCGGCGAGCGGCGAACGGGUGAGUAAUACAUCGGAACGUGCCCAGACGUGGGGGAUAACUACUCGAAAGAGUAGCUAAUACCGCAUAUGAUCUAAGGAUGAAAGCGGGGGAUCGCAAGACCUCGCGCGUUUGGAGCGGCCGAUGGCAGAUUAGGUAGUUGGUGGGGUAAAGGCUUACCAAGCCCGCGAUCUGUAGCUGGUCUGAGAGGACGACCAGCCACACUGGGACUGAGACACGGCCCAGACUCCUACGGGAGGCAGCAGUGGGGAAUUUUGGACAAUGGGCGAAAGCCUGAUCCAGCCAUUCCGCGUGCAGGAUGAAGGCCCUCGGGUUGUAAACUGCUUUUGUACAGAACGAGAAAGCUCUGGUUAAUACCUGGAGCCCAUGACGGUACUGUAAGAAUAAGCACCGGCUAACUACGUGCCAGCCGCCACAGUAA